rnacentral:rRNA from 1 species
AUUGAACGCUGGCGGCAUGCCUUACACAUGCAAGUCGAACGGCAGCACGGGUGCUUGCACCUGGUGGCGAGUGGCGAACGGGUGAGUAAUACAUCGGAACAUGUCCUGUAGUGGGGGAUAGCCCGGCGAAAGCCGGAUUAAUACCGCAUACGAUCUACGGAUGAAAGCGGGGGACCUUCGGGCCUCGCGCUAUCGGGUUGGCCGAUGGCUGAUUAGCUAGUUGGUGGGGUAAAGGCGAACCAAGGCGACGAGCAGUAGCUGGUCUGAGAGGACGACCAGCCACACUGGGACUGAGACACGGCCCAGACUCCUACGGGAGGCAGCAGUGGGGAAUUUUGGACAAUGGGCGAAAGCCUGAUCCAGCAAUGCCGCGUGUGUGAAGAAGGCCUUCGGGUUGUAAAGCACUUUUGUCCGGAAAGAAAUCCUUGGCCCUAAUACGGUCGGGGGAUGACGGUACCGGAAGAAUAAGCACCGGCUAACUACGUG